rnacentral:snRNA from 1 species
GGAUGUGAGGGCGAUAUGGCUGCGGCAUCUGUCACCCCAUUGCUCGCCAGAGUUGAUUAGGCUGAUCUGGUUGGCUAGGCAGGUGUCCCCUUCCUCUCUCACUGCUCCAUGUGUGCUCCAUGGAAGAGGACAACCUUUCCCAAAUAGAGGAGGACAAGGGAUUACAAUUAGCUGCGCUCCCCUGCUAGAAGCUCCAAACAAGGUCUCAAGGUCCAAGACACAUUCUGAGAUCUUCCAGAGUAAGCAAUGAUCCUAAAGCCGGCAGGAUGAUAACCUUGAAGAAUAAUGCCAAAGAGUGAUAUCUAGU